AAACUUACAAACGGCUCACUACGGUCAUUGAAAUUUGUUGAUUUUGAGCACAUUCGAUCACUAGACAAAUAAUAUCGAAAAAUAAUAAAAUUUAUUUUCUAGGUACUCCAAAUACUCUAGAUCAAGUUUAACGAAGCCGAUCGACGAUUCGAAAAUCGCAACAUCGAAAACGAGCUGGAAGCACGGAAGGCUCCGUGCUUCCGAUAGCAUAGUAGUCUCACUAUAUAUAUAUAUAUAUAUAUAGAGUUGAGCUGGAAUACUAUCGAUAGCAAACGGGCUCCGUUGCCACCCAUUUGUUUUCGAUAAUGGAGCCUCCAAAUUGACGAUCGGCACCGUUGAAUAUGAUAUAUGCCACUUGAAGUAUUUAGAAAUCAAAUUUCAAAUCUUUUCGACAUCAUGACCUAAUGAUCAAAGAAUUUCAAAAUGUAUAAUUUUAAAGAUAGAUACGAGGUAUUUUCUCAUUUAACGGUGUAAAGCUAUCCAAAUCAAUUGAAUUUUGAUUAGAAAGUUCUUUAAACUAUUUAGAACAAGAUCUAUACUCUUGAUCUUGAUUACAAAAUUUCUAUCAUCACUUUUUAGAGAAUAUUCAUUUUCAGCCGUUUAGUUUUACGCCCACUUGAUGAACAAGAGAACAAUAUUGAAAAAGUAUAAAAUUUGAUUUCUAGAUAUUUCAAGUGGUAUAGAUCAUGCUCAACGGUGCCGAUCGUCGAUUUGGAGGCUCCAUCAUCGAAAACA
rnacentral:lncRNA from 1 species